GCUGCUAAAACUGAUGUAAAGAAACCCUAAACUUCUCGCGAUCUCUCCUUCAUCGUGAGGUGACUUCUCAUCUUCGUCUGUAUCAUCUCAACAUCGAAACGUUCCCGAUUCCUCAUGUUUAAUUUCUAUCAAAUCAAUCAAUCACGAUGUAGCUUUUAAUGCUUGCUUUGAUUCGGAGUUGGUGUAUCUGCGAGUAUAAAUAGAUCAACAUUCUUCCUCUUACAAUCAUCUUCCAAGCCGUGUAUCUACACCUAUAAAAAAAGGCGAAGCCCCCAAAAAGUUGGGUUGGAGAGAAGCCACUUCUAUCUGUUUCAAAUUUUCCAGCCAUAUGUUUUGCUACAAGAAGGAUAAUUCUCGGAGAGACCUAAGCCGUGAAAAACACUGACUUCGAUAAAGUUUGGAAAUGUGGCAGAUUUGCCACCAUUUACAACCCUGUGGGGAUACCAUAAGGUUUCCAUUGCCUUGGUCAUGGUUGCAGAAUCCUUCGGUUGGUAACAGAGCUAACGGGUUUACUUCCACCCUGAAGAGACUUACAUGCCUUCAUCUGUGCUAUGUUUUUUUUAAAACAGAGCUUCUUGAUCUUCGUUUCUGUAGAAGAACCUCACAUUUUAUUCCUAUCAACAUCUCUUAGGAAUAAAGGUUUGCUAAUUAAGAUAUUCAUAUCAGAAUCAUCUUUUUAGCUUAUUGACUGAAAAGUAUUUUCCAAUAAAAGUUUCUUUCUAA